rnacentral:rRNA from 1 species
CUGUCUGAAUAUGGGGGGACCAUCCUCCAAGGCUAAAUACUCCUGACUGACCGAUAGUGAACCAGUACCGUGAGGGAAAGGCGAAAAGAACCCCGGCGAGGGGAGUGAAAAAGAACCUGAAACCGUGUACGUACAAGCAGUGGGAGCACAGGUUUACCUGUGUGACUGCGUACCUUUUGUAUAAUGGGUCAGCGACUUAUAUUCUGUAGCAAGGUUAACCGUAUAGGGGAGCCGGAGGGAAACCGAGUCUUAAUUGGGCGUUAAGUUGCAGGGUAUAGACCCGAAACCCGGUGAUCUAGCCAUGGGCAGGUUGAAGGUUGGGUAACACUAACUGGAGGACCGAACCGACUAAUGUUGAAAAAUUAGCGGAUGACCUGUGGCUGGGGGUGAAAGGCCAAUCAAACCGGGAGAUAGCUGGUUCUCCCCGAAAGCUAUUUAGGUAGCGCCUCGUGAAUUCAUCUCCGGGGGUAGAGCACUGUUUCGGCUAGGGGGCCAUCCCGGCUUACCAACCCGAUGCAAACUGCGAAUACCGGAGAAUGUUAUCACGGGAGACACACGGCGGGUGCUAACGUCCGUCGUGAAGAGGGAAACAACCCAGACCGCCAGCUAAGGUCCCAAAGUCAUGGUUAAGUGGGAAACGAUGUGGGAAGGCCCAGACAGCCAGGAUGUUGGCUUAGAAGCAGCCAUCAUUUAAAGAAAGCGUAAUAGCUCACUGGUCGAGUCGGCCUGCGCGGAAGAUGUAACGGGGCUAAACCAU